rnacentral:lncRNA from 1 species
GGAACUGUUAUGAGAUCACUGGGGCAGAAUCCUACCGAGGCGGAGCUUCAGGACAUGAUCAAUGAGGUGGAUGCAGAUGGCAAUGGUACAAUAGACUUCCCAGAGUUCCUUAACCUGAUGGCUCGCAAGAUGAAGGACACUGAUUCAGAGGAGGAGCUCAAGGAGGCCUUCCGAGUGUUCGACAAGGACCAAAAUGGGUUCAUCUCAGCUGCUGAGCUUCGCCAUGUCAUGACCAACCUUGGUGAGAAGCUUACCGAUGAGGAGGUUGAUGAGAUGAUCCGUGAGGCUGAUGUUGAUGGUGAUGGCCAGAUCAACUAUGAGGAGUUUGUCAAAGUCAUGAUGGCCAAGUGAGAA